CAGAUAACUAAAUUUCAAUUUGAUCUUUAAACAGAUGCAGAAUUUAAAGAGUGGUUUCUGUGGACAAACGUGUAUAGUUACUUAAGUCUCCAGGCAUGAUACCAUAGUGUUUAUUUUUGCAGAAAAUAUAUACAUUUUUGUAAUUUUUGUAAUCAAAUGAAAAAAUAUAUUUAUAAUUUAUCAUCUUAACAAGGAAUGACAGCACGAAACACUGUUUAUUUGGUGAAACUCAUAUUAUUAAUUAUUAUUUGUAUUGCAUAUAUAUUUUGUGUGGUUUGUAUAAAAUAAACAAGGAACAUCGAAACAAGGUAAUAAAACCAAGAACAAACACUCAGAAAAAAAUAUACUUGUAAUCAACCAACUGAUGAAAUAAAAUAUAUGUAACCUC
rnacentral:lncRNA from 1 species